rnacentral:rRNA from 1 species
UAGGGAAUAUUGGUCAAUGGGCGAGAGCCUGAACCAGCCAUGCCGCGUGCAGGAUGACGGCCUUCUGGGUUGUAAACUGCUUUUAUAUGGGAAGAAAAAAGUCUUGCGAGACAAAUUGCCGGUACCAUAUGAAUAAGCACCGGCUAACUCCGUGCCAGCAGCCGCGGUAAUACGGAGGGUGCAAGCGUUGUCCGGAUUUAUUGGGUUUAAAGGGUACGUAGGCGGAUUUUUAAGUCCGUGGUGAAAGCCUACAGCUUAACUGUAGAACUGCCAUGGAUACUGGAAAUCUUGAAUUCAGUUGAGGUAAGCGGAAUUUAUGAUGUAGCGGUGAAAUGCAUAGAUAUCAUAAAGAACACCUACUGCGAAGGCGGCUUGCUGGACUUGAAUUGACGCUGAGGUACGAAAGCGUGGGGAGCGAACAGGAUUAGAUACCCUGGUAGUCCACGCCAGUAAACGAUGAUUACUCGCUGCUGGCGAUACACAGUCAGUGGCCAAGCGAAAGCGUUAAGUAAUCCACCUGGGGAGUACGCUCGCAAGAGUG